UUCGAUCCUGGCUCAGAUUGAACGCUGGCGGGAUGUCUUUACACCACGCGUAGUGAGCAGCGGCACGGACUUCGGUCUGGUGGCGAGUGGCGAACGGGUGAGUAAUGUAUCGGAACGUGCCUAGUAGCGGGGGAUAACUACGCGAAAGCGUAGCUAAUACCGCAUACGCCCUUCGGGGAAAGCGGGGGACCUUCGGGCCUCGCACUGUGGAAGCGGCCGAUAUCGGAUUAGCUAGUUGGUGGGAGUAACGGCUCACCAAGGCGACGAUCCGUAGCUGGUUUGAGAGGACGACCAGCCAUACUGGGACUGAGACACGGCCCAGACUCCUACGGGAGGCAGCAGUGGGGAAUUUUGGACAAUGGGGAAACCUGAUCCAGCCAUCCCGCGUGUGCGAUGAGGCCUUCGGGUUGUAAAGCACUUUUGGCAGGAAAGAAACAGCCUGGGAUAAUACCCCGUGCAACUGACAGUACCUGCAAAGAUAAGCACCGGCUAACUACGUGCCAGCAGCCGCGGUAAUACGUAGGGUGCAAGCGUUAAUCAAAUUACUGAGGCGUAAAGCGUGCGCAGGCAGUUCAGAAGAAGAUGUGAAAUCCCAGAGCUUAACUUUGGAACUGCAUUUUAACUACCGAGCUAGAGUGUGUCAGAGGGAGGUGGAAUUCCGCGUGUAGCAGUGAAAUGCGUAGAUAUGCCAGAGGAGGAACACCGAUAGCGAAGGCAACCUCCUGGGAUAACACUGACGCUCAUACUGGCAUGGGGAGCGAACAGGAUUGGUCACCCCACAAUGGUCCGCACCUAAACAGUCAUCAACUAGCUGUUGAGGCCUUCGGGCCUUGGUAGCGCAGCUAACGCGUGGUUGACCGCCUGGAGUGCGGUCGCAAGAUUAAAACUCAAAGGAAUUGACGGGGACCCGCACAAGCGGUGGAUGAUGUGGAUUAAUUCGAUGCAACGCGAAAAACCUUACCACCCUUGACAUGUCUGGAAUCCGAAAGUUGCAGGUACUCGCAAGAGAACGGAACACAGGUGCUGUGGCUGUCGUCAGCUCGUGUCGUGAGAUGUUGGGUUAAGUCCCGCAACGAGCGCAACCCUUGUCAUUAGUUGCUACGAAAGGGCACUCUAAUGAGACUGCCGGUGACAAACCGGAGGAAGGUGGGGAUGACGUCAAGUCCUGUAGCCCUUAUGGGUAGGGCUUCACACGUCAUACAAUGGUCGGGACAGAGGGUCGCCAACCCGCGAGGGGGAGCCAAUCCCAGAAACCCGAUCGUAGUCCGGAUCACCGAUACCCAACUCGACUGCGUGGAAAUCGGAAUCGCUAGUAAUCGCGGAUCAGCAUGUCGCGGUGAAUACGUUCCCGGGUCUUGUACACACCGCCCGUCACACCAUGGGAGUGGGUUUUACCAGAAGUAGUUAGCCUAACCGUAAGGAGGGCGAUUACCACAGUAGGAUUCAUGACUGGGGUGAAGUCGUAACAGGUAA
rnacentral:rRNA from 1 species